CCCUCCCCACCGCCGAAUGCCCCUUGCCAAAUUGAAAUUGGCUUCUCUUCUCUCUCUCUCUUCUUUUUACUUUUGACCAGUCAAAUUCUCUUAUCCCUUCUUCUCUCUCCUCUCUCUUCUCCCCCACUCUCCCUCGUAGCCGACUUCUUCUUCUUCCUUCUUCUUUGUGCGAACCAGAAGCGGAAGAAGACAGAAGCAGCAGCCACCGUCGUUUGAAGAAAGGAGCAGCUCCGCCGCUCACCGCCCGCCUCCGCUUCUCCCUCGCCCCCUCAGCAGUCGUCGCCACCCCUCCUCCUCUUCUCUGUUUCGUGUAAAGACCAGCAGAGACAGAAGCGGAAGCAGCCGCGGAUGUAGCCUGAAGACCAGCCGCCGUUGCCGCCACACCGAAGCCGGACUGCCACCCGCACCGCCGCCCGCGUGGCCACCGCUCGCCGCCGUCCCGCUGCUCGCUACCGCCCGUUCCCUCGUGCCAGGCGUUCCCCCGCGCGACCCAGCUGCCGUUCCACCCCGUCCGGCCAGCUCCGGCCACCGCCCAGCUCCACCCAGACCUCCCCGGCGUCCCCCUCGUCCUCCGCCGGCCUCCCCUCGCCGCCCUAGCCGCCGGACGAGCUUCGUCCAGCCAAGAACAGUUGCUGGAAAAAUGGGUUUCCAGCACUGUUUAAGGCCCGUUUUGGGCUGUUUCCGGGCCCCGGAUCCGUGAAUCGCUUUGGGAAGAAUCGUCCCUCGCGUCGCCCCGUCGGAUUGAUCCGAUUUGCGCGCGAUUUGGUGAGUAAUCUCACUAAUCCUGGAUUAGUUGGCUAAUUAUGCUUAAGGUUGGUUUAGUUUUAAUUAAUUAUGUUUAGGUUGUUAGAUUAGAAUAAAUUAGCAAUUAUUAGUCAAUUGUGUUGCGAUUUAGAUAAAUUGAUUGUGCAAUUAACAAGUAGACGUGGUCUACUAAUUAUUGGAAGUGCCUCGGGAUUUUUCCCGACCCUUAGUGGGCUCCAAUUAGGCUUUUCGGGCCUAAGUGGAUUUUUUAGUAUUUAAAUAUUAAUUUUCGGAAUUAAAUUAAAUAAUUAUUUAUUUUCCGAAAAUUCAACUGAGAUGGCUCGGGACCGGAAAAUUAUGCUGAUGACCGUGGUGAAGUCCGUUUAUUUAAUCAGGCUUUAUUUUGAGCUAAAUUGAAUUUUUAAUAUUAAUUAUUUAAUUUUCGAAAUUAAUAAAUUAAUUAAUUAUUUUUCGGAAAUUAAGAUUUUGAUGGCCGACGACUGGAAUCUCGUGCUGAUCGUCGUGGCACAGUCCGUUUAUUUAUUUGAGCUCUACGUUGUAUGGAAUUGAAUAAAUUGUGAUAUUUUAGGGAUUUACCCUAAAUUGAUUGGAAUCGAUUGAGAUUGAAUUAUUGAUUGGUGAUUGGCCAAGUAUGUUAUUCAGCAUUUAUAAUGCUUUGUUGAGUUGAUUUAAUUAUUUGAUUGAGAAAUCGUUGGGCAUUGGUUGUCGAUAUUGAAAGUAAAUUGGUAACCACUUGAAAGAGGACACGUGGACUCGGUGAAUUGGAAUGUCACCUGGAGAAUGCACGUGAGUUCAGUGGUUGAAUAUGUCACCUUGGCGAAAAGGUCGCUUGAGAGAAUGCACGUGGCUCGGAGACUCGGUAUGUCGUCCUGGAGAAUGCACGUGGCUCGGUGACAGAGUUUGGCAUCUAAAAGGACACGUGGGCUCGGUGAAUUGAUGCAUCACUUUGGUGAGAUAGCACCUAAGAGAAUGCACGUGGGCCAAGGCAUCUAAAAGGGCACGUGGGCUCGGUGAAUUGAUGCAUCACUUUGGUGAGAUAGCACCUAAGAGAAUGCACGUGGGCCCAGGCAUCUAAAAGGGCACGUGGGCUCGGUGACUUGAUGUAUCACUUUGGCGAAAAGGUCGCCUGAGAGAAUGCACGUGGGCCCAAGGUUCGAGGCACGUGGACUCGGAGACUUGGAAUGUUGUCCUAGAGAAUGCACGUGGCCUCGCUUUUAGAUACUCCUCCGUGGAGAGUGAUUUGUAUGACAUGUAAUCGACUGGUUCGAUUUGUUUUGAAUAAAUGGGUGCCUAUUGUGAAUUGUACUGACUUGCAGGUGAGAUCUGAGGCCAAGGUAAGUCCUCUGCUCUGUGCGUGUUUAGGCAGCCUAUAGUAUAAUGGUUUAUCUAAUCGGGCUUAGUGGGGUAGAACUCGCUGAGACGUAGUCUCAUCCCAGUUUGGGGAAAACCAUUUUAGGACCCCGCUAAGGAGCUGAGGAGGAGAAGUCAGAGAAGGAGUUUUUGGGAGAAGAAGAUAAUCCUGAGAGGGG
rnacentral:lncRNA from 1 species